rnacentral:rRNA from 1 species
UACGAAGGGGGCGAGCGUUGUUCGGAUUUACUGGGCGUAAAGGGCGCGCAGGCGGUUCUGUUUGUCGAGUGUGAAAGCCCCGGGCUCAACCUGGGAACUGCGCUCGAAACGGCGGAACUAGAGUUCGGGAGAGGAGAGUGGAAUUCCCAGUGUAGAGGUGAAAUUCGUAGAUAUUGGGAAGAACACCGGUGGCGAAGGCGGCUCUCUGGACCGAUACUGACGCUGAGGAGCGAAAGCCAGGGGAGCAAACGGG